rnacentral:misc_RNA from 1 species
GAUGAAGAACGUAGCGAAAUGCGAUAAGUAAUGUGAAUUGCAGAAUUCAGUGAAUCAUCGAAUCUUUGAACGCACAUUGCGCCCCUUGGUAUUCCGGGGGGCAUGCCUGUUCGAGCGUCAUUAUAACCCCUCAAGCUCAGCUUGGUGUUGGGGCCUGCUGCACUGGCAGCCCUUAAAAUCAGUGGCGGCGCCAUCUGGCUCUAAGCGUAGUAAUUCUUCUCGCUAUGGAGUCCUGGUGGAUGCUUGCCAUCAACCCCCAAUUUUUCUAUGGUUGACCUCGGAUCAGGUAGGGAUACCCGCUGAACUUAAGCAUAUCAAUAAGCGGAGGA